CCCUUAGAUGUUCUGGGCGGCCCACGCACUACAAUGGCGCGUUCAUCGAGAACCAAGGUUGAAUUAUUCGAGGUAUUCUUGCAAAACGCGUCUUGAUUGGGAUAGAUCCUUGUAAUUGUUGGUCUUGAACGAGGAAUUCCUUGUAAGCGUGGUUUAUCAUCCCACGUUGAAUGCGUCCCUGCCCUUUGUACACACCGCCCGUCGCUCCUACCGAUGAAUUGUCCGGUGAAGUUCAUGGAGAGCUGUUUCACUGAGAUGUGCUUAAAGCGAGAUGAACCUAGCGGUUUAGAGGAAGGAGAANUCGUANCA
rnacentral:rRNA from 1 species